rnacentral:lncRNA from 1 species
CAUAGCUGGAGAAAAGUGGGGAAGGACGGGGAGGAUGGGAAGCCUUGAAUGUAACUGCCAGGGGACUCUCAAAGUUAAGAAAAGUAGAAAUACAAAGAAAAGGUCGAGGGUUUGAAAAGAUGGCAGGGGGAGCUGCACGUUGUUGUGCCGGCAAAUGAUGUGAUGACGUUGGUAUUAGAGAAAGACUAGUCAAGUUUCUAUUUCCACCAUCUAAAAUAUGCAAAGGUUGAGAAACCCAUGUAGUAUUUGCUCAUCAUCUCAUAAGGGAGAAGACUGAAUUUGUUAAAUGCACGUGGCUUUUCUUGUUAGUGGCAAGAACUCGAGUGCACUGUGCACUCUGUGAGGUCAUAAAGCGAAGAAAGUGCAAUUACACAAUGAAAAGGGGCAAGCACACUGCAUAAAGAUGUAGAUGAGCUAAAGCUACAUGGAAGAGAUGGGACAGCAUGCCAUGGGGGGAGCAGCCCAGCAGGGGAGCCAGGCAGCUGUCUCCUGACUACUUUCUUGACUGGAAAACAUGGGAUGCCUCAGAAUGCUCCAUAUCUUUGUGGGACCAGACAUUCAAAG